AGGACGAACGCUGGCGGCGUGCUUAACACAUGCAAGUCGAGCGGUAAGGCUCCUUCGGGAGUACACGAGCGGCGAACGGGUGAGUAACACGUGAGCAAUCUGCCCUUCACUUUGGGAUAACUUCCGGAAACGGAAGCUAAUACCGAAUACGACCAUUACAGACAUCUGUUGAUGGUGGAAAGUUCCGGCGGUGAAGGAUGAGCUCGCGGCCUAUCAGCUUGUUGGUGGGGUAAUGGCCCACCAAGGCGACGACGGGUAGCCGGCCUGAGAGGGUGACCGGCCACACUGGGACUGAGACACGGCCCAGACUCCUACGGGAGGCAGCAGUGGGGAAUAUUGGACAAUGGGCGAAAGCCUGAUCCAGCAACGCCGCGUGAGGGAUGACGGCCUUCGGGUUGUAAACCUCUUUCAGCAGGGACGAAGCGAAGUGACGGUACCUGCAGAAGAAGCACCGGCCAACUACGUGCCAGCAGCCGC
rnacentral:rRNA from 1 species